rnacentral:tRNA from 1 species
GCCCAUCUAGCUCAGUGGUAGAGCACAUCCUUGGUAAGGAUGAGGUCGUGGGUUCAAUCCCCAUGGUGGGCU